CCUCAUGGGUAGGUGGAUUAACUACGCUGGCAGGAGUAGCUCUCCCAUUGGCUUACAGCGUCUUCAUUAGAACACUACAGCUGCACUGGUGCAGCAUUUUAAGUGUAGCCCCAGCUCUACGGUUGCCUUAGUAGGCCUGUGUGGGGAAGUUUGCCCCAUAACCUUCCAUGCCCCAUAGAUCUGAUCUAGCAAUAGACAGACUUCAGACUUGCUAUAAAUCCAACAUCCCUCCCAUGUGUAAUAUUUAUGAAAGGGGGGGGGGGAAAUACACUUUGAAAUUCCAUUGCCAAUAACCUGCAGAUUGUUGUUUUUUUAUCUCCAAAUUAAGCAGGCAGUUAGUCACUGCAGCUCUGAGAGAACAACCAGCCAUCUGCUUGUGGUUAAAUAUUCACUGUGCCGCUCUUUUUUUUUUUUUUUUUUUAAAACAUGACAAUUGAUGGCAGCACAGUGGAUUGGUCUCGUUGAAUUACACAGCUGAUUUGGAAACAGAUGCACAUGCAGUUCUCAAUCAAAGGGGGAAAAAAGUUAAAUACAUCAGAAGUCAGGAACCUGUCCAAUAAUCAGCUGGAUGAUUGACGGGCUAAAGGAGUUUUCAAGAAAGACAAGGCUGUUGCAGAGAAGCUAAAUUAAUUUUUUCGCAUCAGUCUUCAAUGAAGAGGAUAUGGGGGAGAUGGUUUAGGUGACAAUCUGAAAAACGGUCCCAAAUUGAGAUGUCAGUGAGGUGGUUUUGGGACAAAUUGAUAAACUAAAUGGUAAUAAGUCACCAGGACCAGAUGAUAUUCACUCAAGAGUUCUGAAGGAACUCAGAUGUGAAAUUGUAGCUACUAACAGGGGUGUUCAACCUAUCUCUUAAAUCAGCCUCUGUACCAGGUGACUGGAGUAUAGCAAAUAUAAUGUUGAUUUUUAAAAUAGGCUCCAAAGGUGAUCCUGGCAACUACAGGCUGGUAAGUAACUUCAGUACAAGGCAAACUGGUUAAAACUAUAAGAAAAUCAUUAUCAGACACACAAAUGAAUAGGAUAGGUUGGGGAGGAGCUAACACAGCUUUUGUAAAGGGAAAUCAUGCCUCACCAGUCUAUUAGAAUUCUUUGAGGGUGUCAACAAGCAUGUGGACAAGGGUGAUCCCAUAGAUAUAGUACUUGGACUUUCAGAAAGCCUUUGACAAGAUCCCUCACCAAAGGCUCGUAAGCAGUCAUAGGAUAAAAAGGAAGGUCCUCUCAUGGAUCAGCAACUGGUUGAAAGACAAGAAACAAAAGGGUAGGAAUAAAUGUGUCAGUUUGCAGAAUGGAGAGAAGUAAAUAUCAGUGUCCCCCAAGGAUCUGUAUUGGGAUCAGUGGUGUUCAACAUAUUGUGACAAAGUUCCUCCUCAACCUUGGUAGGUCUUGCACUUAUUGGUGGAUUUACUCGCCUUGGAGCUUCACAGCAGCCCUCAGUUUGGCCGUUUUCAUGAACCCACAGUCCAGGUCAACUCCUCCUGUGUCUGACCAGGAGUUGGGAGGUUUUGGGGGGAACCCGGGCCCGCCCUUUACUCUGGGUUCCAGCCCAAGGCCCUGUGGAAUGCAGCUGUCUAGAGAGCCUCCUAGAACAGCUGUGCGACAGCUACAACUCCCUGGGCUACUUUCCCAUGGCCUCCUCCCAACACCUUCUUUAUCCUCACCAUAGGACCUUCCUCCUGGUGUCUGAUAAUGCUUGUACUCCUCAGUCCUCCAACAGUCUGCAUUCUCACUCUCAGCUCCUAGCGCCUCUUGCUCCCAGCUCCUCACACACGCACCACAAACUGAAGUGAGCUCCUUUUUAAGCCCAGGUGCCCUGAUUAGCCUGCUUUAAUUGAUUCUAGCAGCUUCUUGAUUGGCUGCAGGUGUUCUAAUCAGCCUGUCUGCCUUGUCUCCAGAAGGUUCCUGAUUGUUCUGGAACCUUCUGUUACCUUACCCAGGAAAAAGGGACCUACUUAACCUGGGGCUAAUACAUCUGCCUUCUAUUACUCUCCUGUAGCCAUCUGGCCCAACCCUGUCACAAUAUUCAUAUAUGAUCUGGAAAAGGGGGUGAAUGUUGAGGUGGCAAAAUUUGCAAACAACUAUCUUGAGUAAUUUUGUAUUAAGUCCAAAGCUGACUGCAAAGAGUUAAAAAGGGAUCUCACUAAACUGUGUGACUGGGAAAGAAAAUAGCAAAUGAAAUCCAAUAUCGGUAAGUGUAAAGUAAUGCACAGAGAAAAAAAUAAGCCCAACUAUACACACAACAUGAUGGAUUCUAAAUUGGCUGUUACCACUCAAGAAAAAUCUUGGAGUCAAUGUGGAUAGUUCUCUGAAAACAUCUGUUCAGGGUUCAUCUGUUCAAAGAAUGAGUUACUGCUGGCAAGAAACAUUACGGACAACAGGAAGGGGGGUCUUCAAACAUGUCAGACAAAAAUGGAAAGAUCAAGGAUGGCAUGGGUCCAGUGCUCAAUGGAGGCGGUGAGCUGGUCACGGAAGAUGAUAGGAAGACGGAGCUGCUCAGUGGCUACUUUGCUUCAGUCUUCUCACAAAAAUAUGUGACCGGACAACUAGCGAAGUUACCAGACAAUAAAGGGGACGGGAGGCAGAUCAGAAUAAGCAAAGGAAAAGGAAAGCAGCAAAUAUCUCCAACGGCCAGUGAUGGGACACUAGAUGAAGAGGGCUCUGAUUUAUGACAGAGAAUUUUUGCCCAGGUGGCUGAGAAAGACCCAUCGGCUACAUGCUCAGGAUCUAACUAAUCACUGUAUUUGGGCUCAGGAAGGAAUUUCGCCCUGUGUCAGAUGGGCAGAGAGCCUGGAUUUUUUUUUUUUGCCUCUCUCUACAGCAUGGGGCAUUUGCAAGUUUGAACUAGUGUAAAUGGUGGAUUCUCUGUAACUUGAAGUCUUUACAAUAAUUGUAGGACUCCACAAACUCAACCAGAGGUUAGGGGUCUAUGACAGGAAUGGGUGGGUGAGGUUCUGUGGCCUGCGAUGUGCAGGUCAGACUAGAUGAUCAUGAUGGUCCCUUCUAACCUUAGUCUAUGUGGACUGCUUUUUGCCAUGUCUGUACAAUGCCUAGAACAAUGGGGUCUGGUCCGUGACUGGUGCUCCUAUGCACUACAGUAGAAAUUAAUAACUAUCCAAACUGGAAUUUAGACAACACCAGGGUUAACAUCCACCUCUACUUUUUGCCUAGUGCCAUUGGCUCUUUAAUGAGCCACCUGUUUUAUGUCUCAUUCAUACCACAGCCCCUUCAGGAGCACAAUAGCACUGUGCUGAUUCAAAAGAAAACCACCACCUAUUGACCCACCAAUGCCAAUCUAUGCUGCAACAAACUAUGUUUUAAUGAGUCUUUGUAGUUUUGACUCAACAAAUGAAGACUCUAGAGAGUACCUGCUUUCACUGCUCCUGCCAAAGAGUUAUGAUAGGAAGUAGAUUCAAGCAGUUCUCAGCAAGCAGGGGAGGCUAACGUACUGUAGGGAAAACUAGAGCCAAAGAGAGCGUGAGGUAUAAAAGUCAAAUGGCAUAAAACCCACAUCAUACUAAGUAAAGUUUAUAAAAAACAUCAACACCAAAGCCCAAAAUACCAAAACAAGUUUAAUAUACAGAACUAGACAUUCAAACAAAAGGUACAAAGCAACAAAAUGCUGUAUAAAGUCACAAAAUAAAUCCUUGACGUUUUCUUCCCCACAGCUUGCAUAAGACAAAGCAUAUGAAUGACAUUGUUCUUUCAGUGCAUAGACCAGAACAGCAGCAGAAACACCAUUGUGAACAGUGCCCUCUGGGAAAAACCUCACAAUUGUAACGCAAAUGACACCGCUUUUACAAAAGUCUGCAGUUUGAACAACACAGGAAAAAUCAACGCUUGCUGACUUUCCCUCUGCCUGCCCUCAAAAGCCUGACUACUCAAACACCUGCUACCGAGUUCUUUUUUUGCCAUCCUAAACAUGGUGUUUAUAUAUCGAGGUGAGUAGCUGGAACGCCUGCCAUCAAUCCAAGAGCACAAAAGUCAGUCUUUCAUUUCUAAGCAGGCUAAAUAGAAAAACUAGUAAACAAAAAACCCCUCCCUUGGGAUCCUACAGUGAUGCUUCAGACCAGGACCUGAGAUGAAACACUUGUAGCUCUGGUGAUUGACCUCCUCCCAUUCAUAGACAAAGAAAGUACAGCCAUAAUCAUCCUGCUGGAUCUCUCUGCAGCAUGGAUACGCAAUUAGGUUACCCACCUCUUAGAUGUGAUGAAUGUAACCACCUUGAAACACCUCAAUUCUAUUCUCCCACACUGAACCCAUGUGUCUUUCUGGGCAAUUUUUCAUCCCCAGAGCAGUCACCUGCAGAGUCCCCAAAACUCUAUUGCUCCCUAUUAUUCAACACCUGUCAUGAAAGAAUCGGUGAGACGAAUGGGGACGAAGUGCCAAGCAGCUCAGAUACCCAGCUCUACAUCACCUCUCAACUUUCUCACCAUGAGGAUGAAGAGGAGGUGCCCAAAGCUGAAGCCAGGCAAGACUAAAGCCAUGCUGGUAGGAAGAGGGAAGCACUUUGAAUAACUUUUACAGCCCCCACUUUCAAGGGCACCCGCUUUCAAAUUAUUUCACCGCCUCAGAUCUCCUGGGAUGCCACUGGGUGCUCUAACAGUCAUAGGGGCAGAACAUGCCUACUUCCAUGUGUGACCAACCAAAAGAUUUAUAUCCCAUUACGUCAGGCACACAUCUGGCCGCAAUAACCUCCGGGCUUGACUGAAAAACUUUUGGCUAGGCAUGGAGCCACAGAGCCUAAAAAGGCUCCCACUGACACAAAACACAGGAGCCCAUCUGUUCAGCAACACACAUCACUGAACAGAUCACCCCUAUGCUCUGCUCUCUGCACUCCUUCGCCAUAGAAAGGGAUUUCAGUUCAAGCAGUACUUGAAAUCCUCCAUGGGAUCCUUCCUGAGAGGUCGCUACUCCCUCUGCAACCAGAAUCCCCCACUAUUACUACAUUUCACUGAAAAAUAAAGUGGUAAACAACAGUGCUGGAGGCAGAAGAUUCUCAGGAGCUAGGCCUAGACCAUGGAAGUGACAAUAGAAAUCAGCUACGUUAAGUCAGAGGAAGAUUUUGCAUUUAUAUCCUGCAAACCUGCUCCCCACCCAAAUUCUUCUCACAAUGAGAAAUAAUCACCAAUUUAUAAACUAACCAAGCUCUUUUACAGGCUGGGAAACAUGAAAGACUUAUUUUUAUUUCUAUUUUUAAAUAGUUAGCAGACGGGAGGAACCAUAUAAAUCGUCUAGGAGAUGCUCUCAUCCCACCUGACAGUGGCAGGGCCCUUGGUUAUACACUAUUUUCACCGCCUAUCCACACUGCAGCAAUGCAAUACACCAGAGCACAAAACCCUCAGCUCUUAGGAAACUCCAGCUAGUACAGGGCUCUGCAGCAUGUCAUCUUGGCAUCAUGGACUACUGCAAUCACACCAAACUUAAUCUCCAUCCUCUACGCUGACUUCCCAUAGAAUACUAAAUCAAGUUCAAGGUCUCAGUCCUUCUCUUCAAGGUGCUCAGUGGCCUGGGCCCAGCGCUCCUAGAAGAUUGUUAACAUUCUUCAACAAAGACAGUGGUAAAGAGCUCUAUUCCUCUGGUACAAAAUUUUCUACCAGAAAGGUAAAGCUCAUCUGUGCAGUAGGGCUGGUCUAAGACUGUGGAAUAAACUCCCACAGAACUAAGGAUCAUCACGAACCUCAGCACCUUCUGACUUGCAAUGCAAGACAACUUAGAGCUGCCUUCUGACAGAGCAGUAUGUACAUUU